rnacentral:lncRNA from 1 species
CUUACAGUUGUUUUCUUUCAGCUAUUAAUUAGUGCUCUCCUCUUUCAGAAUAUGCCUCCUCGUCGAGCUAGAAGAAAUAACUAUGGUCAGCAACCCCAGCCUGCUGACCCACUGAAUAAAAAUGUGUCCCAUGCUGAGUUUUGGGAAACCUUUCAGGCGCUGGCCCAAGCUGUCACUACAAAUGUUUAGGCCAAUCCGG